CCUCUGCACUCGGCUCCCCUGAAGCGUCCAGCCAGAGGCACCCCGGCCCUUGCUUCAUAGCAGGCGUCUUCAGACCCCAGACUGGCCCCUGAGAUACUGAGGGCGGGCAGAAGCUGCUGAAAGUCUGAAUCACUCCUAACCACAAUGGCCUUCGAGCGACAAGAGGCUUUCUGUUUCCAGGGCCUGUUCAAAAAUGGGGUUUAUUUUUUAUUUGUUUGGAGGAACACAGUGCUUCCACGUGUGCCUCCAUGUCUAACAACGACUCGGAGUUGAGUCUAGCAGCCUGCACGGAUCAAAUUAUUGAAUUUCAGAACAUCCGGUGGGAAGAGACCGAAGAGAGGCCGCCGGGAUGCUACCUGAUUAUAAAAGUGAGGUCAUCUAGAAGCUGGGUUCGGUCCCCAGCUCCGAAAAAAAGAACCAAAAAAAAAAAGAAAGAAAAAAGAAAAAGAAAGCUACACACAUCCGAAGUACAUGAUGCAAAUGAAUUUUUGCCAAGUAAAUGACUUAUCACUAUAAAGACAAAAAGCUAAGCUCUGUUGAUAUGCAGAAGGCUUCUCCACCUGGGUAUCUUCCUCCAUCCUGGCAGCCAGGGAAGGCCUUGGCCUGUUUUUUGUCCCAUAGAAGCGGAAUGUAGGUGGGCUAUAAAGUCCAUUGGUUCCUUGAUGGAGACCAUACGCCGUCUGAGGGAUAUGUUUUGUUUUGUUUUUAUAUGUUGCCUGCAUGGACACCUGUGUGCCUGUCACCACGGAGGUCAGAAGCAAGCUUCAUUUCCUUUGGAAGUAGAAUGAUAGACAGUUGUGAGCAGCCAUGUUUGGAACCAAAGUCAGGUCCUCUGCAAGGGAAACAAGUUCUCUUAACCACUGAGCCCUCUCUCCAGCCCCUAAGGGGUGUGAUUAACCCAACAGCCUAUAUUUAAGAUCUCCAGAAGCUUACUAAACAAACAGAGCAGACCCUGAUAAAGCAUGGUGACGUCCUUAUGAAGUGUAGCCAAGCCUGAACUCCAGGGAAGGCCAUGCUGCCUCCAUCUCCCCCGCUUCUCCAUCAGAACCAAACCCCUCUGAGAACAAACCCCAUCCUAGACCAGGCUCGGGAUUCACAGUUCUCCACAUGGCUCAGGACCUCCUCUUCCAGCUGGGUUAACUUGUCCUAAUUCUCAAGAAUUUGAAGAGGGGUUGAAAAGAGGGUAAAUGUGAGAACACCUUAUGAAUAGUCAAGUAUUAUUAAAACCAAAACCAUGGGGCUGGAGAGACGGCUCAGUGGUUAAGAGAACUGGCCGCUCUUUCAGAAGCCCUCCCAGUUUAGAUCCUAGCACCCAUAUGGGAGCUCACAACAGUCUGCAGCUUCAGAUCUGACACCCUCAUACAGAUGUAUAUGCAUGCAAAACACCAGUGCCCAUAAAAUAAAGGAUAAAUAAAGAAAUAAAACCAAAGCCGUUACACUAAUUUUCUUUUAAAAGAAUUUUCCAAUCCAUUUCAUUCUGGAUUUUAAAAAAAAGAAAAGAAAGAAAGAAAAACUGAAAAACAAAAACAAAGAACAAAAACCAUGUUUUUUUUUUAACCUGAAAUAUUUAAUAAGCUAUAAGAAGCAUUUUGAUUUGUGGGGAAAGAUGAGACCUCAAAUUGAAUUCUUAAGUGCUUGGUUUGUGUUUAUUACUAAUUUAUUUAUGUGUUAAACUUUGGAUGACGUGUGAUAAGCUGUCUGUGUCACGGUGCUAUUGAUUGACCUGCAUUACAAGCUGAAUUAAAUGUGCAUUACCCUGGGCUGGUCACCAAGAAGGAAGCUUUAGAAGUUUUUGAGGGAGAGUAAAUGAAGACCAUUAAGGCCCUCUAGAAUCGUCUCCCAUGACCCUGUCACCCUGGGGAAGUUCUCCUGCAGUUGGUCACAUGUAUAUCUUUGUCUUAAUGCUUCCUCUAAUGGCUUCUAAUGGCUGUUCGGUCACACUGCCUACUUUGUAAAGAAACAGUUGUCUCCUUCAACCUUGUCACGGGCACAUUCUAGAAGAUUGGGCCUCAAUGUAUAGCCAUAUCAGACACAAAACUCCACACUGAGUUUCUGUACGAGACACUCCUCUGCUGCUGUGACGAAACACCGUAUCCAGAAGCAGCUUACAGAAGGAAGAUGUUAUGUGAUUUACGGUCCCAUAGGAUAAGGAUAUAACAAGGCUGGAAGGCAGGACAGCAGGGGGCAGGCAUGACAGGUGGAGCAGAAGCCAAGGUUUCACAUCUUGAACCAAAAGUGUAACACACAAGGCAGGCUGAAGAUGGUGAGGGUCUUUAAGCUCUCGAAGUCUGCCUCCAGUGACAUACUUCCUUUAAUAUGGCCACACCUCCUAAGCCUCACCAAAGAGCGCCACCUACUGGGCACCAAGUGCUCAAAUGCCUAAGCCCAUGGCGCACAGUUUUAAUUUAAACCACCGAGCCCUCUCGUUUUAUGAGGUCACUCGCUCAUUGGUUCGUUCAUAUAACACUGGUUGAAUAUCAACACAGUUCCAGGCUUUGAGACAAUGGCUCCUCUUCUCACUAAGUUGUAGUACUUAUCUCUGGGACCAGUACUUGGGGAGGAAUUACUGUUGACUUGUCCUAGGAGAAUAUUAAAUUAUUGGGAAAAGUAAAGCAGUGGAGGCCUGAAUUAGGAUUCUGUCCCAGCACUUCCCACAUGGUGGUCUUGGUCAAGUCACGUUUAAAAUUAAUCGAGCAUUUCUUUGGUGCCUUUUGCCCAGUUUUUGUAAAUAUAUAAUGCGUGUACAGUGUGUUGUUUAUUGUGUAUAAGGCACUAAGUUUAGCACAGUGAUUUAAUCAGUACAACAGACUAUUGAUUAUGAUUAUAUAUAAUAUACACAUACAAUACAUACAUAUAUAAUACAUAUAUAUAUAUAUAUAUACAUACAUACAGUGGUAGGAUGAUAUCAUACAGGUGAAAGCAGAUACAAGAUAGAACGAGGCCUGUCAUUGGAUGAGAAGGAAGAAUGGGCAGGAGAAAAGUUUGAGGGAGGGGCUGGAGAGAUG
rnacentral:lncRNA from 1 species